GGGGCGAUAGCUCAACUGGGAGAGCGCGUCGUUUGCAAUGCAGAGGUCGGGAGUUCGAUCCACCUUCGCUCCACCA
rnacentral:tRNA from 1 species